AACGAACGCUGGCGGCAGGCCUAACACAUGCAAGUCGAGCGGACCCUUCGGGGUUAGCGGCGGACGGGUGAGUAACGCGUGGGAACGUGCCCUUUGCUUCGGAAUAGCCCUGGGAAACUGGGAGUAAUACCGGAUACGCCCGUUUGGGGAAAGAUUUAUCGGCGAAGGAUCGGCCCGCGUUGGAUUAGGUAGUUGGUGGGGUAAUGGCCUACCAAGCCGACGAUCCAUAGCUGGUUUGAGAGGAUGAUCAGCCACACUGGGACUGAGACACGGCCCAGACUCCUACGGGAGGCAGCAGUGGGGAAUCUUAGACAAUGGGGGAAGCCCUGAUCUAGCCAUGCCGCGUGAGCGAUGAAGGCCUUAGGGUUGUAAAGCUCUUUCACCGGGGAAGAUAAUGACGGUACCCGGAGAAGAAGCCCCGGCUAACUCCGUG
rnacentral:rRNA from 1 species